rnacentral:tRNA from 1 species
GCCUUCGUGGUGUAACGGUAACAUACUCGGUUCGCAUUCAAGAGGUCCAGGUUCGAGUCCCGACGAGAGUC